CAAUUGUCCUAAUAGCCACCAUGGAAUGGAUGGAUGCUAACAACAGGCUCGGAGUUCUCCAUCUGUUGCCUCCUUUUAUCCACAUGAGAAUCAAACAAGACUACUGAUUAAAUGAAGCCUUUGAUGAAGUGCAUGCAGUUUGUAGCUUGAUUCAUGGGAAUACUCAUCACAGACUGAAAGUGUAACCCAGGGUCUCUGGGUUUUGGGGAAUGCACUGUGUAAAAGUAUCUACUUGUAACUGUUACACCCUGAGUUGUUGUUGUUUUAGAAAGUUCCAAGAAGAAGCUUAGCCUUGGAAAAAACAAAAACUGGUUGAAUCCAGAAGUGGAGAUGAAUUUUUGCCGACUCUCCUCGCUGCCACACUAAAAACCCUGCUCAGAGAGGAGCUUAUUCACCAUUUUCUGUUCAUGCAAUGUGUGUGGAAGCAUGAUCUACAACAGCAUGCGUGCUGCCUUCACCCUACCUCUACAUACAAUGACUCAGUUAACCUGCUGAAUAAAAGCCCUGUUUUCACCUUUGCUGGGGGAGGUGCUGCUUUGGGAACAAUUCGCAGUGUCCACUUCACUUUUUGCAAGUAAUAGAAUACCCUUAUUAAAUGCU
rnacentral:lncRNA from 1 species